rnacentral:rRNA from 1 species
AUUGAACGCUGGCGGCAUGCUUUACACAUGCAAGUCGAACGGUAACAGGCCGCAAGGUGCUGACGAGUGGCGAACGGGUGAGUAAUGCAUCGGAACGUGCCCAGUCGUGGGGGAUAACGCAGCGAAAGCUGCGCUAAUACCGCAUACGAUCUAUGGAUGAAAGCGGGGGACCUGUAAGGGCCUCGCGCGAUUGGAGCGGCCGAUGUCCGAUUAGGUAGUUGGUGGGGUAAAGGCUCACCAAGCCGACGAUCUGUAGCUGGUCUGAGAGGACGACCGGCCACACUGGGACUGAGACACGGCCCAGACUCCUACGGGAGGCAGCAGUGGGGAAUUUUGGACAAUGGGCGCAAGCCUGAUCCAGCAAUGCCGCGUGCAGGAAGAAGGCCUUCGGGUUGUAAACUGCUUUUGUACGGAACGAGACGGCUCUGGUUAAUACCUGGGGCUAAUGACGGUACCGUAAGAAUAAGCACCGGCUAACUACGUGCCAGCCGCCGCGGUAAUAC